rnacentral:rRNA from 1 species
AUGGCUGUUGCCGCCGAGGGCACGAGCAGGCGGAGGAUCCUCGACUACCUCAACGACGGCGAGGAGUUCGGGGUCGCGGGGCCGCCCUCCUCCGCCGCCGCCACGCCCAGGCCCAGGUCGCUCAUGCCCAGGUUCCGCUGGGCGCGGCUCGCCAGGCUCGGCGGCAAAGCGCGGCCGCCGAAGCCGGUGCUCGAGGAGGAGAUCGUCGCCGCGGACGACGAGGGCCAGCUCAGGGACGCCUCGGGCGCCUCUGCCUCAUCAGCACCAUGCGCGGCGCCGCCCGGCGACGGCGAGACGACGAGGCCGUCGGACCUGAGCGUGGGGCUGAGCCUGGUGUUCCUGCUGGCCAAGACGUCCGACGAGUUCAACAAGAUGGCCAGGGUGCGGGCCGAGAUGGAGGCGCUCAUCAGGGACUUCAAAGGCCAGCAGGCCAUGGAGACGACGGCCAACACCGGCGCCGACGACGAACCCCGCAACCCCGAGUCCGCCGCGUCGAGCUGCCUCACGGACGGGAACGAGCCGCAGGCCGCGACCGCGCGCUGCGAGGACCAUCGGCACCAGGUCGCCUCCUCCUCCGGCGCGGAGAUGGAGGCGGCGAGCCGCAGGAGGAUGGACGUGCUGGAGGAGGAGUUCCACGCGGAGCUCCAGCGCGUUCGCGCCGGCUACGGCCCGGACACGCCGCCGUUUUCGACGGGGGAGGAGCGCGACGAGGGCGGAGCAGAGCCGUCGGACGACGACGACGACAUUGCCGACUGCCGACAGGGAUUCGAGAGCGACCUCGGCGACGACGACGAUCAACAUCACCACGUUUACGACGAGGAGGAGGAGGACGAGGACGACGACGACGACCCUGAUCGGUACCACGGCGUGUCGGCCGUGGAGCUGGAGAGGAGGCUGCACGAGCUGCUCCACCAGAGGAACCAGGAGCGGAUCGAGGAGCUGGAGGCGGCGCUGCGGCGCGCCGAGAAGCGGCUCUUCGACAAGGAGAUGGAGGCGUCCCUCUGGAAGGACACCGCCAAAAUGGCCUUCCGCCACGACCACCACGACGACCACGACGACGACGACUCGCCGUAA